GCCUGGGUAGCUCAGUGGUAGAAGGCCUUUCUUUUCACAAAAGAAAGCCCUUGGGGAAAGAAAACUUUGGUGCAAACUGUGAAUAAAGGAAGGCUGAGCCAAAAGCGCUAGACUCAUAAUCUAGAGGUCGCGGGUUCGAUUGAAGUUGGUUGCACAGAUUUGGUCUACGACCAAAUCAAAAUAAAGCAACCAUUUCUGGUUAACCCGUCCCAGGCACCA
rnacentral:tRNA from 1 species